rnacentral:lncRNA from 1 species
AGAAUGACAAAGAAGUAGUCAUAUUCCGAAACAGGAAAACUGGGAUCACCUGAUUUGAAAGGGGGAUAACUUCUUCAUCCUAACUCCUAUGAGAUUUAUUCAACUUCCUGGUAAUUCUACACUACUUUAUGUAUCCAAAUACAGCUUCUCACAUUAUGAUUCAUCUUGGUUUGAUUAGAAUGACAAAGAAGUUGUCAUAUUCCCAAACAGAAAAACUGGGAUCACCUUAUUUGAAAGUGGGAUAAC